CCCUUAGAUGUCCGGGGCCGCACGCGCGCUACACUGAUGCAUUCAACGAGUUUUGUUUGUUCCUUGGCCGAGAGGCCUGGGCAAUCUUUUGAACUUGCAUCGUGAUAGGGAUAGAUUAUUGCAAUUAUUAAUCUUGAACGAGGAAUUCCUAGUAAACGCAGAUCAUCAAUCUGCAUUGAUUACGUCCCUGCCCUUUGUACACACCGCCCGUCGCACCUACCGAUUGAAUGGUCCGGUGAAGCCUCGGGAUUGUGGUUGGUUUCCUUUAUUGGAGAUUGAUUGCGAGAACUUGUCUAAACCUUAUCAUUUAGAGGAAGGUGAAGUCGUAACA
rnacentral:rRNA from 1 species